rnacentral:rRNA from 1 species
GACGGAGGGUGCUAGCGUUGUUCGGAAUUACUGGGCGUAAAGGGGGCUUAGGCGGCCGGAUCAGUCGGGUGUGAAAGCCAGGGGCUCAACCCCGGAACGGCACCCGAGACGGUUUGGCUGGAGACCGGGAGAGGAGGGUGGAAUAGCCAGUGUAGAGGUGAAAUUCGUAGAUAUUGGCUGGAACACCGGUGGCGAAAGCGGCUCUCUGGCCCGGUUCUGACGCUGAGGCGCGAAAGCGUGGGGAGCAAACAGG